rnacentral:rRNA from 1 species
AGAGUUUGAUCCUGGCUCAGAUUGAACGCUGGCGGUAUGCUUAAGACAUGCAAGUCGAACGGAAGCCCUCGGGCUUCAGUGGCGGACGGGUGAGUAACACGUGGGAAUCUACCCAAUAGUGGGGGACAGCCCGGCGAAAGCCGGAUUAAUACCGCAUACGCCCUACGGGGGAAAGGCGCAAGCCGCUAUUGGAUGAGCCCGCGUAAGAUUAGCUAGUUGGUAAGGUAAAGGCUUACCAAGGCGACGAUCUUUAGCUGGUCUGAGAGGAUGGCCAGCCACAUCGGGACUGAGACACGGCCCGGACUCCUACGGAAGGCAGCAGUCGGGAAUAUUGGACAAUGGGCGCAAGCCUGAUCCAGCAAUACCGCGUGUGUGAAGAAGGCCUGCGGGUUGUAAAGCACUUUCAGUUGGGAAGAUAAUGACGUACCAACAGAAGAAG